GCUAUGGAUCCAGCUCUAAAAUCAACUCUCUGUCCUCACUGUGGUUGUGUUCUUUCAAGAAAAACUCUGCUUACUCACAGGAGAAUGUACUAUGACGAAGACAGUGACACCUGGGUAAAGAAAAGAAAAGAGCUUGAAGAUGACUUAUGAUAUAUCCUUUGUUGAGGAUGAAAAUGAUGAGACACUGACUGAGCCAACUUCUCCACCACCACCACUUGUGAACUUUGAUACAGGUUGGUUCUUGGUUUUAUACACAUUAACCUCGCAGUGCAUGGGUGUUUGGCAUGUGCAUUCCUAGAGUCAAUGUCAUAGUUACAGCUAAGGCCUAAGCUCCACUAAAGUAUACCAUAAUAGCAGGGUAUUUUCGAGGCAUAUUAUUAGCUACUUUGCUAUGCGCACGCUGUAGGUACCAGCACAUGUGCAUUGGGCUGCUCUUUCAUGUGGUAUCUUUAAUAUAAUUGCCUCGAGGUACACUUCAUGCAAUACUGUGAAAGAAAAGUGACCGUUUGAUAAUGGCUACCUAGGGCAGCUAGCGCUAGAUAGUGAGAAUAACGAGUAAGAGGACAGUGACUGGGAUCAUACCAAGAGAGGAAACUACUUUUCAGAGGUCAAGCUAUAAGUAAGUAUGGAGUAUCAUAUGUAGUCUGGAGAGCUUCAGCAUGGUAUUAGCUUCAGCAUGGUAUGCUUAGUCUAGUUAGUACACAUCAUGAGCCACCAUUGAACUUGUAAACCUGUGUGUAGGUGAAGAAAACAUUUCCCGGGAAAAGAGCGUCUGCCUCGCAGAGAAGUUUCUGCUGAUCCUGAUUGAACCAUGUUACCGUGAGAACAUUGAGAACACUUACUUCGUAGUGUCUUUAGUUACUUCAUGCCUUCAUACAAUUCAUGCCUUCAUACAAUAUUGUUUAUGUUCAUAAUUGUGAAAUGUGUAAAAAAAUCGUCAAUUAGUUCAGUUGCUAGGUAACGAUGAUGAUGUCAUGGUACCCCCAGGAUCUGGGCUACCUGUAGGAAAUAGUUGCAAGUGAUUACAGUGAUUACAAUGCAUUGUUCAUGAGAGAUAUGUAUUUUUAAAGAAAAAUGUGUAUUUAUUCUGUAUUUUGUUUUUUUAAUUAAAGGGUCACUUGACAUUUCAGGUUGGCUGAAAGCUGGAAGCCACUACACCGCUGGAAGCCACUACACAUUUCCUGGCUGACUGAAAUAUGGACGGUCAACUGACAUUUACUUUAACUGAAAUUUUAAACCCGUAUCAGGAAAUUUAUUUCUUUGAAUGUCCAUUACAUUUCAGCACAUAUCACUGCCACAUAUCACUGCACAUGAAAACCCAUUUUUGUACUAGUGGCACAUACAUAUAUAUCAUUAGAGUACGCAUGCAAGACAAGCAUAUGAAUAAAUAUAGCCAGCAUACAAAACGCAAGCAUAGUUCGCGGUCAUUUGCUCCUCGCUUCAGCACCAGGAUCUGCAUAUAGUAUACUUACAGUCUUACUAUACUUACAGUCUUACCUCAUAAUUAUUACGUCCCAGCUCUACGAUAAAUAAUUGUGUAGCAACAACACACCAGUGCAUAAACGACAUUAUACUUACCUCUGACACUUGGUAAGUGUGCAACAUUUCCAGCAGUAGUAAUUUCGUGUCUGCAAGGAAAUGCUACAUUAAGUUGGCUCUUGUAAGACUUCCACUUACCUCUGAAGUUAUAUAAGUGGCAUCCGCGAUGUUAAUGCACGCACAGGUGCCCCCGAACAAUUCUCGCUGCAAAGUGCACAACAUCUGAUUGGCAGUUUGUGAUUAAAUGUCGGUCAUCCAAGAUUUCCAGUCCUGUCAGUUGUUGCCUUACAUUGACCACAGAUCCCAGGUCUCCGAAGACAAAGGGUCGAACGAUGAUUUGGUAACUCGCAUGGUCACGAGCAAGAUUACCCCGCUUCUGGGGUGAGUGGUUCCCAGGCUACAGCAACAUCAACAAUGGUGAUCGUCUUCCUGGUAUGGUCACGAAUGACUAUAUCCGGUCUGCACGGCACAUCCUUGUUUUUUGUCCUUAUGAUGGUAUCAACUUCUAUGAAGAUCGUCUUCAUAUCCCCGACUGUUCCGAUACCAGUCCACUGCAUGGCCUUGGCCCCAGUGGAGACAGGAAGGCAGGGUGUAGUGUAGAGUAGAGGCUAAUGCUCGGGUAACCUGGUACACGACUUUGUCGUGUCGUUCCUUGUAUACACUGUUAAAAUUGAUGUGUUAAUUAGCACCCUACUUUUUUUUUUAUUGCAAUAGAACACACUAAACUGAACAGUGAGUAAUAGAACACACAAGACUGCUGAGAGUGUAAAUAAACACACUGUAAACUAGCGCACUAUUGUAGUGUAAUGUAAAGUAUAGCACACUACCAUCUGGACCUAUAUAAGUUAAUUCUUCUACAUAAUUAUGCCCACGUGCAUGCACUUACACUAUCGCUGCACGCGCAUGCUUUCAAACAGUGCUGAGAUUAAAAUUAUGUCAUCAGGACUUUACACAUGAUUAAUGACGGAUAUAAUUAUAGAUAUAAGUUCAGGACGUAUAGUACAAAGGAUAAAUUUAAGAGAUUAUGUCAUCAGGACUUUGAAUAUCAGGAUAGCACAAAGGACAAAAUCGUUUUAAAGCACGAUAAUUUAAGAGCAGGAUUUAAAUGAAACAAAUGUCUUGAAUGGAAUAGGCGGACUUCAUUGUCAUCGUCAUCUUCACCGUAACAUAAAACAACGAAGAACAAUUGACCGAAGUUAAAGGUGAAAUGUAGCACAAUCAUUUCCUAUGUGUAUGUAUAUACAUGGACAUAGAAGUCAGUAUUGUUGUAUUAUUAAUAGGAUGACAUUAUAGUAGCAUAAUAGUAACUUAAGCCAUAGUGUGACAUAACAUUGUAAUUUCUCACCUGUUCAACAAAAGUAAUAUCAAUGGCCAUGGCAGUCAGACACUGAGCUCAAGUUCAUAUGCAGCAGCAUGGAAAGAUGGAAAGUUCACUGAUCACCCCAUCUCCUAAAGUAAUAGUAAAUACUCAAGGCCACCAUACUAUUAACACUUUAAGCAAUGCCUUUGAUCAUAGAUCCAAUUCAAAAAUUCAAAUUCUAGAGAACACCAUGGUUAGACCGAUUAUAAUCAAAAGAGAGGGUAUGCAUGGCCAUGAAACUCAAAUCACUAUCUAUGCAGAAUUCAAAUGUGGGCGGAUGAAUAUGUGAAUUUGAAUGAAGUGCUAAAAAUAGAAAUUUCUAUUUUUAGCACUUCACGCACAGUCAUGGCACAUUCAUCCGCCCACAAUUGAAUUCUGCUCUUUUGUUCUUCUCAUUAUGACUCUGGAAGGAAUUAGACUUGGCUUUUUAGAAGCAGGUUUAAACAGGUCAAGCGCGGACGUUGAAGAAACUGAAUAAAAAGACAUACUUCGCUUAUCGGUUUUGCAUACUGCAUGUUUAGCACAUAAUGUACUGCAAACCAGUAGAGCAUAGCCUUGAUAAAGGUUGGGAUUUGACAUGGCAGAAUGCUACUAGCUAUAUGUAGGUAUCCUUCCUACUAUACUCGUAAGUACCUACAUACGUAUAGCAAGCUCAGAAUGAUGAAUUGCACGUGGUAUACUACUGAGAGUUGGGCGGAGCCAAUCUCUGAAGUAAAACUCACGUGGUUACUCACGUGGGAAUGCCUGGAAAUGCGCUUGCGCGUAGAUCAAGGCACGAAGUGCAAAAAGACAGCAUGGCAGCUACAGCAAGAGAUCAUAGUGACACUGUCUACUCUUUCACCACUGAGGAGUUGUCUAACUAUCUGGCUGAUCAAGGACAGCACCAAGAUGUACUGACUGCUGUAGUGUACUGACUGCUGUAGAAGUGAACAGACUGACUGGAGCUGUUUCCAGUGUUAGGGGCAAGGAUGUCUGUUCAAAGGCUGAUUUCAUCCUUUACUUCUAAGCCUGCACCAAACCAACAGUCUGAAACUCCUUUAGCUAAAGUAAGAACAAGUAACAAGGAUUGGGUUAAAACUUUCAAACUCCCUGAUCGUUUCAACAACCGCACUAUGAAAUCCCUCAGGGAGGGUGUGAUAACCAAGGCCGCUCGCAUAGACAUCAUUGGCUCGUUGUAUACCUUGAUGAUGCAGAAUGAUCCUAAACCAAACGGCUUUGUCUAUGAAAUGGCCUGCACAAGGCUCAUGGAGAAAAUUACGGACAAUACUGAUUCUGGAUUUGGUACGUGGAAGGAACAGCUUAAACAGAAAUUCAGGAAUGGCCGUAGAGGCGACAAGGAUGAUGAACCUGACGUGGAUAUCCCCGAUACCACCCCCAAGAGAACGUAGAAUUGGAUCAAACGCAUCCCCUGAGGAUAUAGACAUCUGCAGUGUAUCCUACCAGGAUAAAAUCUCUUUGAUAUAUGCAAAGAGCAAAGAGCAACCCAAAGGCAUCUAAAUUGAAACGUUUGUUGUUGGAAACAUUUGGUGGUAGGAGAGAGUGGAUUAUCAAACAACAGACAAACUCCAAAACUGCAUAAUUGAAAUCAAAUGCACGGACAUGCGCAUAGAAAAUUUAGGUUUUCUUACAAUCCUCCUCCUCCUCCUCCUCCUCGCUUUGAGGAGGAAUCUUUUGAAGGGUUUCUCUUAUGCAAGGUCUCGUCGGUGCUUCAAUCUGCGCAAGCUUGAUGAGUUUCUCCUUGAACACUGACUGGCCACUCUCUCAGGAAAUCAUGUUUCUUAAGCAAGCCCAGAAUCAUGGUGAGCUCUCGUUUGAGCUAUUAUUAUAAGUACAAAGAGUAUACAUCAUCAUGCACAUGGCCAAACUUUAUAUACACUCACCCGUGAAGACUGCUGCAUAGGAAAAACGAGCCUUCUGGAUAAUUUCCUUGCAAGCAGGGACAAAAUGCGGCUGCUCUACGAGUUUCCGGCUGAUGAGAAGAAUAUCAAGAACCUACCUCCUGCUCCAGCAAUUGUAUUAUCUCAUUCGGACUCUGUCUGCUGUCCAAAUCAUCGUGGUUGCAGAAAAGAGUAUUAUUGUUGAGCCAGACAAGGCAUUAGAAGA